rnacentral:rRNA from 1 species
UACGUAGGGUGCAAGCGUUGUCCGGAAUCAUUGGGCGUAAAGAGCGCGUAGGCGGCCCAGUAAGUCCGCUCUGAAAGUCAGGGGCUCAACCCCUGAAUGCGGGUGGAUACUGCUGGGCUAGAGUCCGGAAGAGGCGAGUGGAAUUCCUGGUGUAGCGGUGAAAUGCGCGGAUAUCAGGAGGAACACCAAUGGCGAAGGCAGCUCGCUGGGACGGUACUGACGCUGAGGCGCGAAAGCGUGGGGAGCGAACAGG